AAGUCGUAACAAGGUUUCCGUAGGUGAACCUGCGGAAGGAUCAUUAGUGAACUUGCCCUUGUGGCAAUGGACCACCGUCCACACACUAUCCACACCUGUGCUCUGUUCAACACCCUUUAUGGGUUUUUACAAACUUUGUGUCAUGAACGUUGAUUUAUCAUAACCUAUAAAACUUUCAACAACGGAUCUCUUGGCUCUC
rnacentral:misc_RNA from 1 species